rnacentral:snRNA from 1 species
AUCGCUUCUCAGCCUUUUGGCUAAGAUCAAGUGUAAAAAAAAGAUGGAAAUUAUAUUAUCUCUAUAUUUUGCAACUUGUAUUUAGAAUUGACUCUACUAAGUGGGUUUUCUUAAUGUCACUUUUUAAGAUACCCUUUCCCAAA